GGCGAACGCUGGCGGCGUGCUUAACACAUGCAAGUCGAACGGAAAGGCCCUGCUUUUGUGGGGUGCUCGAGUGGCGAACGGGUGAGUAACACGUGAGUAACCUGCCCUUGACUUUGGGAUAACUUCAGGAAACUGGGGCUAAUACCGGAUAGGAGCUCCUGCUGCAUGGUGGGGGUUGGAAAGUUUCGGCGGUUGGGGAUGGACUCGCGGCUUAUCAGCUUGUUGGUGGGGUAGUGGCUUACCAAGGCUUUGACGGGUAGCCGGCCUGAGAGGGUGACCGGCCACAUUGGGACUGAGAUACGGCCCAGACUCCUACGGGGGGCAGCAGUGGGGAAUAUUGCACAAUGGGCGGAAGCCUGAUGCAGCAACGCCGCGUGCGGGAUGACGGCCUUCGGGUUGUAAACCGCUUUCGCCUGUGACGAAGCGUGAGUGACGGUAAUGGGUAAAGAAGCACCGGCUAACUACGUG
rnacentral:rRNA from 1 species